rnacentral:rRNA from 1 species
AGCGCAGGCGGGAAAGUAAGUCUAUCUUAAAAGUGCGGGGCUCAACCCCCGUGAGGGGAUAGAAACUAUUUUUCUUGAGUGCAGGAGAGGAAAGCGGAAUUCCUAGUGUAGCGGUGAAAUGCGUAGAUAUUAGGAGGAACACCAGUGGCGAAGGCGGCUUUCUGGACUGUAACUGACGCUGAGGCUCGAAAGCCAGGGGAGCGAACG